GCUCUGUUUUGCCAACCCGGCCUAGAUGCACCAUUGGGGACUUUACUUGUCAACGUGCACGUCCCCUGAAACUGCAGGAUAAAUUAAUUACAGGACAAGCUUUACUUAUUAUAUUUAUUACAGCUGGGAAACCGUAAUCCAAACUACAGCCGAAUGCUAAUUCUAUCUAAAAUAUGAACAAAUAUGUGUAAAGAAAUUAAAAUAUUUUGUGACGUAGUGUAGUAUGUAAAUGGAAAAUACAGUGUGAUAUGAUGGAGUGUUCAUUAAAAGCACAGAAUCACCUGAUAAUUACAUUUAAAACUGCCACGAUCACAAACGCACCAUUCCAAUACAUUUCAACAACACUUUUUUGUUGUUACUGAUUCAAAAUAAACGGCUCUCUAAAUGAUAUUAACAAGUCAAACCUAAUGGGAAAUUAUAGGGGACAAAUAAUCCAGUUUAAAGGUACGCUCCACACACCAUAACCACUACAGCACCCUGAACAUAAUAUUGUGAACAAAACCGAUAUCACGGAACUGGAACUAAUCAUCCCGGCUGUAUGAUUGACAGCUCUGAGGGGUGGGGGUAGAGCUGUAGCAAUUUUUACAUAGUGAGUGAGGGUUGUUUCUCCUCCAUAAACUGUGAAUUUAUUAAAGCUAUCACAAUUACUCCGAAGAUUUAUCUACACAACAAAACCAUUUCUCUUAUUUCAUUUAACAGCCAAAAGGACUUGAUAAAUCACUGAAAACAAUGGUUUUGUGUAUGUGCAGAUGAGCAGAACAAAUACUACAAACACCUGCCUUUAGUUAAUGUGUUCAAUACAAACAAUGCCUACAUCAAAGGAAUACUGUAGGAAGAGAUAUGUGUAUUUCUAAUGCCAUAGUGUCCUAGUCGCCACAUAGGUCAAUCUCCUAUGCAUGGGUUAAAAGUAUUAAAGUAAACUUACCUGUUAUCCCACACUGCGCUGCUCUCCAUGGCGGGCCCCGCCUCUGUGGCAGAGAUUGUCAAUCUUGAUGAUCUCAGCCAAUCCAAUGCUUUGCCAUAGAAAAGCAAAGCACAGCCCUGCGCUAAUCAGAUGGAAUCUGUGAAUUCCACUUGCUUGCCAGAGUGAUAU